rnacentral:lncRNA from 1 species
AUAUAUAUAUAUAUAUAUAUAUAUUGAAAUUUAGAGCUCCACGAGACUAAUACAUAUAGAUAGAACAGUUUAUAUAAUCCAUGCACAAUAAUUCGAUAUUUGACACCAUCGUAAGGCACAAAUUUAUGGUUAUAUAGCUCCACGUUUCAAAGCUUAUAGACCCAUCGAUCUCAGCCCGACCGAGCCAGAUCCAGCUGAUUCCCGGCCUCAGCCAACACUCUGUCUGUGGCCGAUGGCCAUCUUAGACUGCGCCACACUUUCUUCUCCGCUGCGCAUCCAUAGUAGUCCUUCCAUGUACAAACUACGAACCUUUGAUGACUUCCAUGAUCUCUCUGUCUCUCUCUCUCUCUCUGGUGAGCCUCCCUUUGUAUCUCCCUUUCUUUCGCCGUUUUUCUUAUGGAAAAAGCCGGUUCUCGUGACCAUCCGGUGUAUGAGAUCAAUUUACGGGCCCGCCCGCGUAUGGUUGUCUUGAUCGGUGGGGGGGACAAAACCUCAUGUGUGCAGAGGAAAGAAAGAGAGAGAGAGAGAGAGAGAGAGGACAGAAAGAAAGAAGUGAGGGCGAGAGUGGAGGACAGGAGGACGCUUUUAUAGGUUCCAAGCCCCAAGGCAAUGGGGGGGGGAGGAGGAGGAGGAGGAGCGGGGAGCCCCUCACCGCCCUGCUAAAAAUAAAACAUGGACGGACGUGACGCCCCUCGGUCGCUCGGCAAUCCCCACGAAAUUAGCGGCACCAGGCACAGCACUUAUUAACGUCAUGUGACCUCCGUGACGGACGACCGUCCUUCCCGAGCCCUGCCUGCCCUCCCUCUUCCUUUUUUCCGCGAUUGGCGGACACGUGUGGCCCACCGCUGCAGUUAUUCGUAUCAGCGUCCAAGUCGUGUCCUAGCCGUCUGAUCCCAUGGAACAGAAUGGUGGAACGGCAGACCUGUGACGGGCGUACCAUUUCUCUUUCUUUCUUCUCCCUGCUCUUCCUUCCCACCAUUGAGCCCGAGGGCUUCCACUCGUUAAUUCAUUCUCCAAGGUCCAUUUACAAUAGCAGAAAGUUCGCUCUUGGCUGUGCCUUAUUAGGGCGGGAGAUGGAGGAUGGUUGCUAGAGUAAUGCACAGCCUUGCC